rnacentral:rRNA from 1 species
GUGGGGAAUAUUGGACAAUGGGCGCAAGCCUGAUCCAGCAAUGCCGCGUGGGUGAAGAAGGUCUUCGGAUCGUAAAGCCCUUUCGACAGGGACGAUGAUGACGGUACCUGUAGAAGAAGCCCCGGCUAACUUCGUGCCAGCAGCCGCGGUAAUACGAAGGGGGCUAGCGUUACUCGGAAUUACUGGGCGUAAAGGGCGCGUAGGCGGCUCUGUUAGUCAGGCGUGAAAUUCCUGGGCUUAACCUGGGGACUGCGCUUGAUACUGCAGGGCUUGAGGCCGAGAGAGGGUGGUGGAAUUCCCAGUGUAGAGGUGAAAUUCGUAGAUAUUGGGAAGAACACCGGUGGCGAAGGCGACCACCUGGCUCGGUUCUGACGCUGAGGCGCGACAGCGUGGGGAGCAAACAGGAUUAGAAACCCCGGUAGUCC